rnacentral:rRNA from 1 species
AGACGAGUUAUACUUGAACCUUCGGGGGACGAUAACGGCGUCGAGCGGCGGACGGGUGAGUAAUGCCUAGGAAAUUGCCCUGAUGUGGGGGAUAACCAUUGGAAACGAUGGCUAAUACCGCAUGAUGCCUACGGGCCAAAGAGGGGGACCUUCGGGCCUCUCGCGUCAGGAUAUGCCUAGGUGGGAUUAGCUAGUUGGUGAGGUAAGGGCUCACCAAGGCGACGAUCCCUAGCUGGUCUGAGAGGAUGAUCAGCCACACUGGAACUGAGACACGGUCCAGACUCCUACGGGAGGCAGCAGUGGGGAAUAUUGCACAAUGGGCGCAAGCCUGAUGCAGCCAUGCCGCGUGUGUGAAGAAGGCCUUCGGGUUGUAAAGCACUUUCAGUCGUGAGGAAGGUGGUGUAGUUAAUAGCUGCAUUAUUUGACGUUAGCGACAGAAGAAGCACCGGCUAACUCCGUGCCAGCAGCCGCGGUAAUACGGAGGGUGCGAGCGUUAAUCGGAAUUACUGGGCGUAAAGCGCAUGCAGGUGGUUUGUUAAGUCAGAUGUGAAAGCCCGGGGCUCAACCUCGGAAUAGCAUUUGAAACUGGCAGACUAGAGUACUGUAGAGGGGGGUAGAAUUUCAGGUGUAGCGGUGAAAUGCGUAGAAGAUCUGAAGGAAUACCGGUUGGGCGAAGGCGGGCCCCCUGGACAGAUUCCUUGACAACUCAGAAUGGCGAAAGCGUGGGGGAGCAAACAGGAUUAAGAAUACCCUGGUAGUCCCACCGCCGUAAAACGAUGGUCCUACCUGGAGGUUGUGGCCUUGAGCCGUGGCUUUCCGAGACUUACGCGUUAAGUAGAACCGCCUGGGGAGAUACCGUCGCCAAGAUAAAACUCAAAUGAAUUGACCGGGGCCCGCACCAGCGGGGAGCAUGUGUCAAUUCGAUGCACCGCGAGACCUACCUACUCUGA